UACGUAGGGGGCUAGCGUUAUCCGGAUUUAUUGGGCGUAAAGAGAACGCAGGCGGUCUUUUAAGUCUGAUGUGAAAGCCUUCGGCUUAACCGGAGUAGUGCAUUGGAAACUGGGAGACUUGAGUGCAGAAGAGGAGAGUGGAACUCCAUGUGUAGCGGUGAAAUGCGUAGAUAUAUGGAAGAACACCAGUGGCGAAAGCGGCUCUCUGGUCUGUAACUGACGCUGAGGUUCGAAAGCGUGGGUAGCAAACAGG
rnacentral:rRNA from 1 species